rnacentral:rRNA from 1 species
AUACAGAGGGUGCGAGCGUUAAUCGGAAUUACUGGGCGUGAAGCGCGCGUAGGCGGCUGAUUAAGUCAGAUGUGAAAUCCCAGGGCUCAACCUUGGAACUGCAUCUGAUACUGGUCAGCUAGAGUUUAGGAGAGGGAAGUAGAAUUUCAGGUGUAGCGGUGAAAUGCAUAGAUAUCUGAAGGAAUACCAGUGGCGAAGGCGGCUUCCUGGCCUAAAACUGACGCUGAGGUGCGAAAGCGUGGGUAGCAAACGGGAUUAGAAACCCCAGUAGUCC